AUUGAACGCUGGCGGCAGGCCUAACACAUGCAAGUCGAGCGAGCGGCGGACGGGUGAGUAAUGUCUGGGAAACUGCCUGAUGGAGGGGGAUAACUACUGGAAACGAUAGCUAAUACCGCAUACCAUCAGAUGUGCCCAGAUGGGAUUAGCUAGUAGGUGGGGUAACGGCUCACCUAGGCGACGAUCCCAAGCUGGUCUGAGAGGAUGACCGGCCACACUGAAACUGAGACACGGUCCAGUCACCUACGGGAGGCAGCAGUGGGGAAUAUUGCACAAUGGGCGCAAGCCUGAUGCAGCCAUCCCGCGUGUGUGAAGGAGGCAUUCGGGUUGUAAAGCACUUUAAGCGAAGAGGCGUUACCCGCAGAAGAAGCACCGGCUAACUCCGUGCCAGCCGCCGCGGUAAUAC
rnacentral:rRNA from 1 species